rnacentral:tRNA from 1 species
UCUAAUGUGGCAGAAUAGUGCAAUGGAUUUAAACCCCAUAUAUAAAGUUCCCUUUCUUUAGAA